rnacentral:rRNA from 1 species
UGUGAGAGCAAGAGCCCGGAGAUGGAUUCUGAGACACGAAUCCAGGCCCUACGGGGUGCAGCAGGCGCGAAAACUUUACAAUGCUGGCAACAGCGAUAAGGGAGCCUCGAGUGCCAGGUUACAAAUCUGGCUGUCGAGAUGCCUAAAAAGCAUUGCAUAGCAAGGGCCGGGCAAGACCGGUGCCAGCCGCCGCGGUAACACCGGCGGCUCGAGUGGUAACCGUUAUUAUUGGGUCUAAAGGGUCUGUAGCCGGCCGGAUAAGUCUCUUGAGAAAUCCAGCAGCUCAACUGUUGGGCUUUCAGGAGAUACUGUUCGGCUCGAGGCCGGGAGAGGUGAGAGGUACUUCAGGGGUAGGGGUGAAAUCUUGUAAUCCUUGAAGGACCACCAGUGGCGAAGGCGUCUCACCAGAACGGACCUGACGGCAAGGGACGAAAGCUGGGGGCACGAACCGGAUUAGAUACCCGGGUAGUCCUAGCCGUAAACGAUACUCGCUAGGUGUCGGCCACGGUGCGACCGUUGUCGGUGCCGUAGGGAAGCCGUGAAGCGAGC